AUCUAAGGCCACGCCACCCUGAACAAGCCCGAUCCGUUUGAUCUCGGAAGCUAAGCAGGGUCGGGCCUGGUUAGUACUUGGAUGGGGGACCACCUAGGAAGACCAGGUCCUGUAGGUG
rnacentral:rRNA from 1 species